rnacentral:lncRNA from 1 species
GCACAGUUUGCUCCUAUAAUCUACAUAAGAAUACAUUAAAUUCUUAAACUGUCAACAGACCAAAGCCAUUCUGUCUUUAGAUGUGGUUUUCUCUGUAUUAAUCAUAACCUUAUGUCUCAUACCUAUCUAAAUUUAAAUAGCAUUGCAGCUAAUGGUAAAUGAUCCUGAAAGCACCUACAAGGUGCUGCUAAUACAUCAAUCCUCUGCAGAAUGUCAAAAGAAGACAGGAGAGGACUGGGAAUCUCUACAGAUUGGGAAUGUGUUUCCAGAGCUACAACUUGACAAAGAUGACUCCGGAUGUUUUCACUUUCCCAUGUGGAAAGCUGUGCAUACUUUUUCCAAUCCCAAAGUAAAAUAUGGAAAGCUUGUUCAAACCCCAUUAUUUUUCUGCCUUCAGGUCAUCUUUCAUGAUGCUUGAACAGUGAUAUGUGAUGUGAUUUUUAUGUGGAAAACUGCAGUUGAACUUUUCAAGGUGUUUUGUAAAGUGCAUAACAAACAUGGUAAACCAAGAACUUCCAGUCUUCGGCUUUUGUCUAAUACACGUUUAAGUCUGAUUUUGCUUUGGGCAAGUUCUACUUGAAAUUAUGCAUAUGGAUAGCAUUUUAGUCUUUGUAAGUGCCUCUGCUCUCGUCUCAGAGCUUUCUAUAUUCUUAAUCCAUUAUUGACAUAUUUUGGCAAUUCUGUUUGUCCUGUAAGUGUAGCAAGAAAUAGGAAAUACUAAUGGGUUCAUUUUUAGCACUCAGUGCAGAAAGAGGUCAAUGCUAUAAUUUUCCACCAUGUGAUGAUAGUAUUCCUGUGAGCAUUUACUCCAGAAAUCCUAAUGCUAAUGCAUGUUCUAGUCCAAGAUAACUUGUUAGUGUGUGUUACUUGGAAGUGAAGAACUUUCAGCUGAUUAAGAACAGCAUAGAUAUGUAAUUAAUGGAGAGAAAAAAAAAAAAAAAAGAAAACUAUGUAUCUUUUGCCUGUCUGGGAAUCCUAACCCUUUUCAUCAUGCAGGGUUCUAUAAAAUGAAGAGAAUUGAGAAAUUCAGAAAAUCAAGGGGGAACUGGGGUCCCCAUAGACUCUGUAGAUUUCUGUCUUAAACCACAAGAAGAGUUUAUUUCCUUAAGUUGCAUUUUUCCACCAUCUAAAGCAUAGGUGAAAUAUGCAUGUGAAUGAUUCUAACCCUCUGAGUAUGUCUGGCUACCUUGUUUAUGAGAACUGUGUAUUUCUGUGAAGUUCUGAUAGAUUCAUGAAAAAGAUAGAACUAAUCUCACUUGCUUUGCAAAAUACGUUUUAAAGAUGUUUUGACGGCUUCCGGAUUAGUAGGUUCCUGGUAAGAGAUUUCAUUCUUUGUCAUAAUACGAUUAUGGGACUAACUGCCCUCACUAACAUAAGUUCUUGCUCAAAUUUGUACAGUGAUAUUAGCAAAGAGUAGCAUCCAGCUUCAGGCUGAAUAUAUGUUAUUAGAAAUCUCCAGGACUCCUACUUUUCUAGACUAUUGCUAAAGUACUUCAUAAAGGAGGAAAUAUGAAAUGUUUUCAUCACUUAGGUACCAUUGCUUAAGAAUUUACAUUUUUCAUUGCUAAAAAGGCAGUGUUACACAUCUUCUUUGGAAGUCAAUGCUUGAGAUUUGAUCAGACCAAGAUUACUUGUUGUUUAAUUAUAUGUAAUGAAGUAUAGAUCUAUUUGUUCGUGUUAACAAGAGUGGACACUUUAUAGACAAGUAAAUUUCAUGGAGCACUGGAUGUAUUUUCAGACUGAAAAUUCCAGUCAUCCAUGAAAUUAAAGAGAAAAGGGUUCUCUUUAAAGGGACGUUUUGCAAUUACUGAUCCUGUCCACUUGUUUGAUUAUAUUUUCCUAUACAAACUUUUUUAUCACUUUCAAUAAACCUUUCACUAUUACAUUUAUUGGUAUGGCC